GUCCAGGUUGCGCCAGCAGCUAGUUCAUCCUCUCGUCUGCUAGCUGGUGCCGGAUCGUCGUCCAGCAGCGCGGUGAACUCAACGUAGGCGGCGGCCAGCAGCCGGCCGGAUCCAGGCGGCGGCGGCGGCACGGGCGGUUUAAUUUAAGGGCGCGCGCGAUCUCGAUCGGCCGGGAUGAAGUCGGAGAUACUGCCUGCAGGUACGCACUACACUAUCCGACUAUUGAUCGCUCCUCCGAUCCUCCGCUCGGCCUUUGCGAUUUGAAUUCGAAUGAAUGAAUUAUUUUGAAUCGUCUGGCUAAAAAGUCCAUAUAUAUGCGUUGUAUAUAUAUAUGAGUACGUACGUGCUGCGAUCGAUCCUCUCGGGUUUCAUUCAGCUUGCAUGCGGUUCAUUAUUUAUUUAUUUCCUUCUCCGAGUGUGCGAGGAGGACCAGAGUACUUCUAAGUGAAUCUUGUAAAACUCUAGUAGGAUUUCCUUAGUGAACAAUGGACCAAUCCGAUCCAAACUAUACUAGGUACGGGAGAAUUUCCUGAAUCUUGUAAUUUUUUUUUCCUGCAAAAUUGAACUGAUUUCUACAGAAUUUCUGC